AUUGAACGCUGGCGGCAGGCCUAACACAUGCAAGUCGAGCGGGGUUUUCGGACCUAGCGGCGGACGGGUGAGUAAUGCGUAGGAAGCUACCCGAUAGAGGGGGAUACCAGUUGGAAACGACUGUUAAUACCGCAUAAUGUCUACGGACCAAAGUGUGGGACCUUCGGGCCACAUGCUAUCGGAUGCGCCUACGUGGGAUUAGCUAGUAGGUGAGGGAAUGGCUCACCAAGGCGACGAUCCCUAGAUGGUUUGAGAGGAUGAUCAGCCACACUGGAACUGAGACCCGGUCCAGACUCCUACGGGAGGCAGCAGGUGGUAAUAUUCGACAAUGGGCGAAAGCCUGAUCCGGCCAUGCCGCGUGUGUGAAGAAGGCCUUCGGGUUGUAAAGUACUUUCAGUUGGGAGGAAGGUUUGAGUGUUAAUAGUACACAGCCUUGACGUUACCAACAGAAGAAGCACCGGCUAACUCUGUGCCAGCCGCCGCGGUAAAAC
rnacentral:rRNA from 1 species